AGAGUUUGAUCCUGGCUCAGAUUGAACGCUGGCGGCAUGCCUAACACAUGCAAGUCGAACGGCAGCACAGUGGAGCUUGCUCCAUGGGUGGCGAGUGGCGGACGGGUGAGUAAUGCAUCGGGACCUACCUAGACGUGGGGGAUAACGUAGGGAAACUUACGCUAAUACCGCAUACGUCCUACGGGAGAAAGCAGGGGACCUUCGGGCCUUGCGCGGUUAGACGGACCGAUGUUCGAUUAGCUUGUUGGUGAGGUAAUGGCUCACCAAGGCGACGAUCGAUAGCUGGUCUGA
rnacentral:rRNA from 1 species